rnacentral:lncRNA from 1 species
AGGGGGCAGAGGGGCUCAAGGAGGCUGAGGGCUGAGGGGGUUGAGGGGGCUGAAGGGGCUGAGGGCUGAGGGGCUGAGGGGUUGAGGAGGCUGAGGGGCUGAAGGAGGCUGAGAGAUGAGAGGCUGAGAGCUGAGGGGCUGAGGGGGCUGAGAGGGCUGAGGGGCUGAGGGGGCUGAGAGGGCUGAGAGGGCUGAGAGGCUGAGGGCUGAGGGGGCUGAGGGCUGAGGGGUUGAGGGAGCUGAGGGCUGAGGAGCUGAGGGGUUGAAGGCUGAGGGGCUGAGGGCUGAGGGGUUGAAGGGGCUGACGGGCUAAGGGGCUGAAGGGGCUGAGGGAGCUGAGGGCUGAGGAGCUGAGGGGUUGAAGGCUGAGGGGCUGAGGGCUGAGGGGUCUGAGGGCUGAGGGGUUGAAGGGGCUGAGGGGCUGAGAGGCUGAAGGGGCUGAGGGGCUGAAGGAGGCUGAGGCUGGGGUAGGCCUGGAGAUGGGGUGGUCAGCCUGGGGGCUGCAGGGGUCUCCCAAGGCCUCCCUGUGGGUCUUUCGAGGGCACAGGCCCUGCUCCCGGAGGCUGGGAGUUCUGGCCGCAGGGCCUGUCCUUCAGUUACUAGGCUCCAGAGGUCGGUCCCAGCGCCUCAGACACCCACAUCCAGCAGGGACAGGGACAGCUCGCGGCUGGGAUAGCGUCAGCCCUGGGCCACGGCGGCUUGGCACCACAUCCCGUGACAGCUCUGUCUCCAGGCGUGCUCCCCAGCCCUGCCUGAAGAUGAACCCCAAGCCCUCGCCAGUGGCCAGGUAGGAACAAGGCCAGGAGCCCUGUGGAGAGGAGCAGGGGACCACUGCGUGGACGGGGCAGGCUGGGGCACAAAGGGCACUGCUUCCUCUGGAUAGCGCUAACUCCGAGAGCUCGGGCUCCUAUCCCUAGCCGGGGCGCCUGGCCUCCUGCAGUCGGGUCCCCAGCGGGUGAGCCGGGCGCAGGUGGACCUGACCGAGGAGGCGGCCGGAGCCCCUGCGGGUGAGGCGGGAGCGGCGAGCAGGAGGGCUGACUCAGAAGGUUUAUUUGCAGCGCUGGCGGGGCGGACAAUUGGCGGCCUCGGGGU